AGCAAUUCUCAGUGGGAUAAUGAAUGGGUGGAUGAGAAUUGUGAGGAAUCGACUUGGACUGCUGUUGAUGAAGCUAUUGGUGCAUUUGAGAAUAUACAAGGCCACAACUUGCCUAGGGCUGUAGCUACUCGUGUAGCAGCCUUUGUCAGCCAGAUGUAUACUAGGAAGAGUCCAAGGACUGCUGUAGCUACAACUCCAGAUUUCAUUAAUGAUGAAAAAUGAUGACCAUGAAACACAAGUUCAACCCCUUGAUGCUGAAGUAGGAAUGAAGAAAAUCAGCAAACAUAUGGAGGCUAGGACAAGAAUAUGGAGUCAGAUCUCAUGGGUCACCGCUAGGAUUCAACAGAUAAUAUGUAUCGAAAGGAUCGAUGACAGGAAAAGGAGGAACUUCGGAACUGCCAUCUUUG